rnacentral:tRNA from 1 species
GAAAGGGGCUUGCCAACAAUGAGGACUGCUAAUCUUCACCACCUCAGUUGAAUUCUGGGGCCCUCUC